AUUGAACGCUGGCGGCAUGCCUUACACAUGCAAGUCGAACGGUAACAGGUUAAGCUGACGAGUGGCGAACGGGUGAGUAAUGUAUCGGAACGUGCCCAGUCGUGGGGGAUAACUGCUCGAAAGAGCAGCUAAUACCGCAUACGACCUGAGGGUGAAAGCGGGGGAUCGCAAGACCUCGCGCGAUUGGAGCGGCCGAUAUCAGAUUAGGUAGUUGGUGGGGUAAAAGCCCACCAAGCCAACGAUCUGUAGCUGGUCUGAGAGGACGACCAGCCACACUGGGACUGAGACACGGCCCAGACUCCUACGGGAGGCAGCAGUGGGGAAUUUUGGACAAUGGACCCAAGUCUGAUCCAGCCAUGCCGCGUGCGGGAAGAAGGCCUUCGGGUUGUAAACCGCUUUUGUCAGGGAAGAAAAGGUUCUGGUUAAUACCUGGGACUCAUGACGGUACCUGAAGAAUAAGCACCGGCUAACUACGUGCCAGCCGCCGCGGUAAAAC
rnacentral:rRNA from 1 species